CCCCCGCCCCUUCGGCCUGGACGGACGAGGAGCUCGGCAUCCCUCCGGACGACGCGGAAUAGGCGCCUCCGGCCGCGGCGAUCCCGGCAGCACACCGGUCCCUGGAACUAAAGAGGUCCCUGGAACUAAAGAGGUCCCUGGAACUAAAGAGGUCCCUGGAACUAAAGCUUUGGCUCCUUGGUCAUUAUUUCAAUAAAAGUUAGCUGUAAACAACCUC